ACCUCCAUGAUGUCUGUAAUAAAAGUCCCAAAGGAACUGAUGCUGACAAUCGAUUUAUAACUUCGACAAGAUUGAAAAAAUGAUGACCAGCCUUAAUCGAUUUCCGAGCUCUACUGGUGUCUCAUCCGAAGUGUCUUCAUCAAUUUGACCAAUCCCAGAGGAGCAAGCAGUCAAUGUGUAUAUCUGGGAUUUCUUUCUUUCUAUCAAGAAACAGAACAAUACGAUGCGAUAUUCAGCCCUACUUCCAAGUCGCCAAGACAACCAGUCAACGAGAGACCAUCUCCACGAUUGCUUCGACUAGAAGAAGUAACAGCUAAACAUUCUCGUAAAUUACUGCUUGCUGUCAUAUAAAAGUAUAAAAGAACUCGUUUUGUUAAUGUAAUCGUAACUACAUUAUUUCUUAAA